UUAUUGGUAGGUUAUAUAAACUGACAAAUUGUGGUUUUGUUGAUUACUUUUUUGUACCAGUAAA
rnacentral:tRNA from 1 species